rnacentral:rRNA from 1 species
GGAGGGUGCAAGUCGUUAAUCGGAAUUACUGGGCGUAAAGCGCGCGUAGGGCGGCUGGGUAAGUCGAUUGUGAAAGCCCCGGGCUCAACCUGGGAAUUGCAGUCGAGACUGCUCGGCUAGAGUGUGGGAGAGGGUGGUGGAAUUCCCGGUGUAGCGGUGAAAUGCGUAGAUAUCGGGAGGAACAUCAGUGGCGAAGGCGACCACCUGGCCCAACACUGACGCUGAGGUGCGAAAGCGUGGGUAGCAAACAGGAUUAGAUACCCUGGUAGUCCACGCCGUAAACGAUGUCGACUAGCCGUUGGAGACCUUAGAGUCUUUAGUGGCGCAGCUAACGCACUAAGUCGACCGCCUGGGGAGUACGGCCGCAAGGUUA